rnacentral:misc_RNA from 1 species
AACUUUUGGCAACGGAUCACUUGGCUCUCGCAUCGAUGAAGAACGCAGCGAAACGCGAAAUGUAAUGUGAAUUGCAGAAUUUUGUGAAUCAUCGAAUCUUUGAACGCACCUUGCGCUCUCGGGUUAUUCCUGGGAGCAUGCUUGUUUGAGUGUCGCGUACCUCUCAACCCCGCACUUCUCUGGAGGUGUUGUCUAGGGUUCGGACCAUGAUGCGUGUGGUUAAGUCCACUGCAUUGAAAUAUAACAAGCUGGAUCCUUUUCUUGCGGCUUGACCCGUUGUUGUAACUUGAAAAUCAAUGGGAACGCAAAUCAAGGAAUGGGCUUACCAUAAACUUAUAUACAAGUGCAUUUUGACCUCAAAUCAAGUAGGACUACCCGCUGAACUUAAGCAUAUCAAUAAGCGGAGGCU